AUUUAAGCUAAAUUGAAUUCAAUUCUUAGGUAAAUAUUUGAAAUAAAUAAGUUUCUGUUAAUUUUGAAAGGUGUAUGCUGACUUUCGUGUAUCACUGUAUUGUGAGAUUUACAGUAUCAGUGUGUGGAAACAUGGGGAUAUAUACUCCCGAAACAUUUUCUGUCCUUCCUGCAUUUUCAUCAUCAUCAGCGACUACAGCAGCAGCCACCUGUUGUUGCUCAAGUAUCUCCUGUAACUCUAGACGUCUCUCUUCCUCUCGAGACAGGAGAUGCUCCAUCUCUUCAUUUUUUUGCUGGAGAUCGUAGUUCUCGAGAUGUGCAGCAUUCAGCCUUUCAACAAGAUGUUGAUUGUGAAGCUGAAUAGUAGUCAGCACAUCUUGCUGCCUCGCAAUUUCGUUCCCCAAUGUUGGCAUUUAUAUAUAUAUAAGAGUAUAUAAGCUGUAACGAUUUCGUUACUUGUUCAGGUUGAACUAAAACUCUUAUAAAAAACAAACAAAACUUUUGAUAAAGUUUUCUGAGUAAAUAUUGUAUGUACAAGGUUGUAUUACAAUUAUAUACACCGUUAUUUACAAUUAUCAUCAUUUCUACCGAACACAAAAUUAUGUAAUAAAAAGUUCUCAAAUGGAGACGGCACAAGGUCCGCUCAGGAUGCUUCGUCUCACCAGACUGCCUGUCGCCUCUGUUACAGAGUCCAGUCCUUCUCCUCUUUUUGCAGGUGCAUCGAGUUCUUAGAAUUUCGUGGGGAGACACCGGAUGCCAGAGGUACUCCAGACUAUUCGUUACCAUCGUGCAAUGAUUUUUGGUAUUUGCACCAACUUUGUGCAGACUACAUAGAUUUUAAAUCUCCAACAUUGCUACGUAUGGCUAUACCAUAAUAGUUUUGUAGCUUGUCGUCGAUAAAUUUUUCUGCGCCUAAUUCUUUUUUGCUUUUUUUUACAUUUCUCAGUGUGGUGUGAUCAUGGGAUCACCACAAUGUUUACUUUUCAUACUGGGCUGUCUCCAACAGGAGCGCCCUCUUCAUUGCCUUUUGCAGGAUCUCUAGGGCUCGACUCAUAGCUCGUCUUUAGAGAUUCUUGCAACCGCUAAGGAGGGGACGCUAUCUUUUGGAGAUAGACCAGUAUUCCCAGUGGAUCUCGAGUAAGUGGUUGCUUCUUUAGGAGCACGAUAAUUUUUGUUUUUUUCCCCCUGUGUGCUCUAGAGUUUAAUCUUUGAUUUUUACCGUUAUAAGUUUCUGCUACCUUAUCUUCUAAUUAUUUAUUUGAUGCAUCAUGUAAUUCUACAAGAAAACAAUUAUUAUUUCAAUGACUUAAAUUACUAUCUACUCCCUGGAGCACACAGGGAGGGCCCAGCUUCCACGUGUUGGAUUCAGUUUCUUGUGAAGUUGAUGAGCUGUAUACUGGAAAUGAACAUGUUCUUAAAACCAAAAUAAAAUGAAUAAAAUGAUGGGUGAAAUAUUAUCUACGAAAACCAGUGUUUUUCUUUUGAAAAAAAAAAGGUUGUACCAGUCAUCGGCGUGAUUUAGAAAGGUGAUAUACCACAUCUAUCACAAGCAGUUAGCGGAUGAUCUACACCUCAUGUCCCUUCCCCUUCAUUUACUUUUAUCACUCCAUCAUCCUACGCCAAUUUGAUUUGACCUGCCCAAACCGAUAGGACACCUGGGUAGUGUCAUGGGACCAGUAGCCGCGUUGUCGAUAGCUGUUCAAGGCUACAGGCUUUGGUUUCUUGCCCCCACACACCUCCGCCCCACGAUGCCAUACCGUCACGCAAUCUCCUUCAGUCCACCGAAUGACACGAUGAAGCGCCAUAUCCAUACUACAACACACCAGCGCCUUCCAAUGGUAAUGGAAAGUGGUGUGACAUUCGAAACAUCUACAUCCCUGAGCCGAAUUUUCAUAAUGAUCCAUCACUUCAGAGAUGGUUGCAGAAGACUUGACCCCAGAGAAUCGUAAUGCCGACUCCUUCGCCCCGAGAUACGCAUGCAUUCCAAGAUGUAAUUGACACCGCGCUGACAACUUCUGGAUCUUCUUCAUUCUCCCCCAAUCGAUGCAUCUGCUUUCGAGCAUGAAUGCGGCCACUCCCAGUAAUUGUCGUCCCAUCCACUCCCGCCUUACUCAUCAUCUUGAAUGCAUCGCUAUGCAACUUGUGAUCGGCAGCGAGGAACAUCGCAUCAACAUUCGUCAUGCAUUGCCCUGCUGGUACCCGUCGAUGUUGAACAAAUGCAGGCUGCUGACCCAGAUCAAUCAAGAAGUCAUGCGUGAUAUGCCUCUCGAGAAGGCCCUGCCACUUUCGCCCUGGACCUACCUCAUCGAAAACUGCCAAAUCACACAGCGGCGUAAUGAUUUCAGAUAUUACAUCGGCCAGCUUCCCCUUGUACCCACGCAAAUGAAUCCAGGGACGGGUUUCCUCAACCGCAUAGCCCCUAUGAUACCCCUCUUGAUAUCCCAGUUCAAUGGGCUCUUCCCAUGUGACGUCACACUCCCGGGGUGUAGGAAUAAACAUUCCAACACCAACACGUGUUUCUACAGUGUGAUAAUCAUAAUCUUCUGUUCUCUCUAUUUUUAAUUUCUUUAAUUGUACAAAUAACACUAUUUAUAAACUUAGUGAAACACCGUAAUAUGUUACAAAUUUUAAUUCAUUGACAAUUUUGAAUUAUAGAGCGAAAAUGAACGAAAGUAGACAGAAUUGCAACAGUGAUACUAUGUUUAUGAAUGAAAAUACUAAAGGUUUUAAGAAGUUUUUAGAAAAUUUUGUGAGUAACGUAGAAUUUGUUGACUUUGUGGGGGAUAAUAAGCAUUAAAAAAUUCAAUUUAAGCAUUUGAAAUUAAGAAAACAUUCAAAACAAAGGUUAGUUUACUGUUGUUUUCAACAAACACUAAAGACAAGUUUAACAGAUUUAAAAAUUUAUACGAUGCAUCUAUCCUUAUAGUCAUUGAUACAGCACAAUAUCACUAUAUAUAAUCAUUAAUAUUAAACAAUAUAAUUAAAAAUUUGCCUACCUUUAGUUAUUGGUAAAGAAAAAAUGUGUUAUAGUUAAGAGCAAAUCCCGACAAUUAAGGAUAAAAAAACAGAAAAGUAAAACGCGCAGAAAAAGCUUCGUUAAAAUAAAUUUAUACAGAAGAUUAAUUAUUUACAAGAUUUAGAUUAAAGCAUAGCAACAAUAAGAUAUUAAA